rnacentral:rRNA from 1 species
AUGGUGAGCACAAAUGGCGGCCCCGCACUGGGGAAGCAGGACGUCGGCGUUGGCCCAGCUACGGCGCUUCUCUGGCGCUGCCCCGGCUCUAGCCAUGCUCCAGCUCUUGAAUGGGCUAGGUAG